CACGUAGGGCGCAAGCGUUGCCCCGGAAUUAUUGGGCGUAAAGAGCUCGUAGGCGGACUGUCACGUCUGCUGUGAAAAGCUGGGGCUUAACCCUGGCCUUGCAGUGGAUACGGGCAGACUAGAGGUAGGUAGGGGAGAAUGGAAUUCCCGGUGUAGCGGUGAAAUGCGCAGAUAUCGGGAGGAACACCGAUGGCGAAGGCAGCCCCCUGGGCGUGAGAUUGACGCUCAGGCACGAAAGCGUGGGGAGCAAACAGGG
rnacentral:rRNA from 1 species